ensembl:lncRNA
GAAACUGCUCCGGUUCUGUCCGUCUUGUCCCCUUUCAAGGGCAAUGGACCGGAUAUUUGUCUGGCCGCCGGGUUCUUUCCUCAAGAAAAGAGUAUGACUUUGACUGUGGAAGGUAACAAAACUGUGAGUCUUACCUCCAGCAAUGCACCUUUGUUCAGCACGACCAAAACCUAUUAUUAUGCUGGAUUCAGUGAUAAUAAAAAAAUCAAUGAAUGCAAAAUGGAUGGACAAACUGCAGACAAAACUUCGGACACUCCUGAAACGACAGAUAAACCCGAAAGACCGACUCCAAACAAAUGUGAAACAAAUGCUAAAACUUCUGCCUCAGGGUUCAUAGACACUGGUGUUCCAAAAAUGAACUUCAUGAAUCUUCUUGUGACAGGUCUGAGAAUUCUGCUUGCUAAAUGUGUUGCAGUUAAUGUAAUGAUGACUGUAAAGGCAUUCGUAUUUUAAAAGUUCAAUUCAGCCAAAUCAUCUGAAUAAUCUCAAUUAUUAAGUGUAACUUGAUCGAACCCUGACAAACAAACAAAUGCGGUUAUACAGUCAGCCACAGGGUCAGUAUUAAUCUAUAUUCUGUCUAAUAAUGUUACAUGGAAUGAAAAAUACAAAUUGUUAGUAAUGUCUUUCAAAUAUACAGAAUAUCAACAAACAUUGCAAACCUUUUUGACAUUUAGAAACAUUUCUGAAUUCAGCGGUAUAAUGUGUGUAUUGCUUUGCAUUGGUGUGUGUAUUUUCAGCUUUAGUUGCAAAUAAGUGCAUGUUAAUUUUUUUAUAUACUUUUACAUUUUUUACUUUUCUUUCCUUCUUUUUUUUACAUAACAGUAUUGCAUUGUUUAAGACUUUUACAUUGUCUAAUUGUGUAACGGAUAACUAUUUGACUUUACUAUUGAGGCACUGAUCUUUGCAUGUAAUAUGAUUUUUCAAAAAUAUAUUAAAUAAUAAAAUGUCUUGAUAAAAGAGAAGUUUCA